rnacentral:tRNA from 1 species
GGCCUGCUAGCUCAGUCGGUUAGAGCGUCGUGCUAAUAACGCGAAGGUCGUAAGUUCGAUCCCUGCGCAGGCCA